rnacentral:snRNA from 1 species
AUCGCUUCUCGGCCUUUUGGCUCAGAUCAAGUGUAGUAUCUGUUCUUAUCAGUUUAAUAUCUGAUACGUCCCCCAUAGGGGGACUACAUAUUAAAUGGAUUUUUCGAACAGGGAGUCGGAAAUGGGGCUUAGCUUAG